CCAGCAGCUGCGGUAAUUCCAGCUCCAAUAGCGUAUACUAAAGUUGCUGCAGUUAAAAAGCUCGUAGUCGAAUUGGAUCUUAGGAAGAUGUCCGCAUCACCGAACCUAUCUUAGGUAAAGUGUGCAAUCUUCUUAUGAUCAUCCGACCAUGAAAGAGGCUCGGGGAUCACAUCUCCAGACUCCUUUCUGGUUCAUUUUACUGUGAACAAAAUAGAGUGUUCAUGGCAGGCCUUUAACGAUUGGGCUUAGAUACCAUAGCAUGGAAUAAUAGAAUAGGACUUCCGGUUCUGUUUUGUUGGUUUUUGGAGCCGAGGUAAUGAUUAACAGGGAUAGUUGGGGGCACUCGUACUCCGUUGUCAGAGGUGAAAUUCUUGGAUUAACGGAAGACGAACAACUGCGAAAGCAUCUGCCAAGGAUGUUUUCAUUGAUCAAGAACGAAAGU
rnacentral:rRNA from 1 species